CUACCACCACGCUAACUUCAGAGAUAACAGUAUAUAACUUAGCCAAUCGACAGUUCCUAAAUACUUCCAGUGACGCUCGCAAAAGAUAAGGAUUUACUAUACUAACACAAACAUACAAACUGAGUAUUAGAAUUAGAGAUUACACUUUCCAGCUUCAAGUGGCAACCCAAAAUGAAAAGUACAAUGCUUAGCUUAGAAUCCGUUACAAACCGAAAAUUACAAUCAAAUUGUUCAAGUACAACCAUAAGAAAUAU
rnacentral:lncRNA from 1 species